rnacentral:rRNA from 1 species
UCCUACGGGAGGCAGCAGUGAGGAAUAUUGGUCAAUGGACGCAAGUCUGAACCAGCCAUGCCGCGUGCAGGAUGACGGCUCUAUGAGUUGUAAACUGCUUUUGUACGAGGGUAAACGCAGAUACGUGUAUCUGUCUGAAAGUAUCGUACGAAUAAGGAUCGGCUAACUCCGUGCCAGCAGCCGCGGUAAUACGGAGGAUUCAAGCGUUAUCCGGAUUUAUUGGGUUUAAAGGGUGCGUAGGCGGUUUGAUAAGUUAGAGGUGAAAUUUCGGGGCUCAACCCUGAACGUGCCUCUAAUACUGUUGAGCUAGAGAGUAGUUGCGGUAGGCGGAAUGUAUGGUGUAGCGGUGAAAUGCUUAGAGAUCAUACAGAACACCGAUUGCGAAGGCAGCUUACCAAACUAUAUCUGACGUUGAGGCACGAAAGCGUGGGGAGCAAACAGGAUUAGAUACCCUGGUAGUCCACGCAGUAAACGAUGAUAACUCGUUGUCGGCGAUACACAGUCGGUGACUAAGCGAAAGCGAUAAGUUAUCCACCUGGGGAGUACGUUCGCAAGAAUGAAACUCAAAGGAAUUGACGGGGGCCCGCACAAGCGGAGGAACAUGUGGUUUAAUUCGAUGAUACGCGAGGAACCUUACCCGGGCUUGAAAGUUAGCGACGAUUCUUGAAAGAGGAUUUCCCUUCGGGGCGCGAAACUAGGUGCUGCAUGGUUGUCGUCAGCUCGUGCCGUGAGGUGUCGGGUUAAGUCCCAUAACGAGCGCAACCCCUACCGUUAGUUGCCAUCAGGUGAAGCUGGGCACUCUGGCGGGACUGCCGGUGUAAGCCGAGAGGAAGGUGGGGAUGACGUCAAAUCAGCACGGCCCUUACGUCCGGGGCUACACACGUGUUACAAUGGUAGGUACAGAGGGCAGCUACCCAGCGAUGGGAUGCGAAUCUCGAAAGCCUAUCUCAGUUCGGAUUGGAGGCUGAAACCCGCCUCCAUGAAGUUGGAUUCGCUAGUAAUCGCGCAUCAGCCAUGGCGCGGUGAAUACGUUCCCGGGCCUUGUACACACCGCCCGUCAAGCCAUGGGAGCCGGGGGU